rnacentral:rRNA from 1 species
AACGAACGCUGGCGGCAGGCUUAACACAUGCAAGUCGAACGCCCCGCAAGGGGAGUGGCAGACGGGUGAGUAACGCGUGGGAAUCUACCCAGUUCUACGGAACAACUGAGGGAAACUUCAGCUAAUACCGUAUACGCCCUACGGGGGAAAGAUUUAUCGGAAUUGGAUGAGCCCGCGUUGGAUUAGCUAGUUGGUGAGGUAAAAGCUCACCAAGGCGACGAUCCAUAGCUGGUCUGAGAGGAUGAUCAGCCACACUGGGACUGAGACACGGCCCAGACUCCUACGGGAGGCAGCAGUGGGGAAUAUUGGACAAUGGGCGCAAGCCUGAUCCAGCCAUGCCGCGUGAGUGAUGAAGGCCUUAGGGUUGUAAAGCUCUUUCAGUGGGGACGAUAAUGACGGUACCCACAGAAGAAGCCCCGGCUAACUUCGUGCCAGCCGCCGCAGUAAAAC